rnacentral:rRNA from 1 species
CUCGAGUGGCGAACGGGUGAGUAACACGUGGGUGAUCUGCCCCUGACUUUGGGAUAAGCCUGGGAAACUGGGUCUAAUACCGGAUAUGACCUCCGCCUGCAUGGGUGGUGGUGGAAAGCUUUGCGGUUGGGGAUGGGCCCGCGGCCUAUCAGCUUGUUGGUGGGGUAAUGGCCUACCAAGGCGACGACGGGUAGCCGACCUGAGAGGGUGAUCGGCCACACUGGGACUGAGACACGGCCCAG